rnacentral:rRNA from 1 species
UACCAGCACCCCGAGUGGUCGGGACGAUUAUUGGGCCUAAAGCAUCCGUAGCCGGUCAUGCAAGUCCUCCGUUAAAUCCACCUGCUUAACAGAUGGGCUGCGGAGGAUACUACAAGGCUAGGAGGCGGAAGAGGCAAGCGGUAUUCAGUGGGUAGGGGUAAAAUCCUCUGAUCCAUUGAAGACCACCAGUGGCGAAGGCGGCUUGCCAAUACGCGCUCGACGGUGAGGGAUGAAAGCUGGGGGAGCAAACCGG